UACGUAGGGGGCUAGCGUUGUCCGGAAUCAUUGGGCGUAAAGAGCGUGUAGGCGGUCCGGUAAGUCCGUUGUGAAAGUCAGGGGCUCAACCCUUGAAUGCCGGCGGAUACUGUCGGGCUAGAGUCCGGAAGAGGCAAGUGGAAUUCCCGGUGUAGCGGUGAAAUGCGCAGAUAUCGGGAGGAACACCUAUGGCGAAGGCAGCUCGCUGGGACGGUACUGACGCUGAGACGCGAAAGCGUGGGGAGCAAACAGG
rnacentral:rRNA from 1 species